ensembl:lncRNA
AUCGGUGCCCUCGAGGGACUCGUUGACCCCGAAUGGGCCUUCUGCUGCAUUAUGCAUGCCGACUCACAUGAAAGAUCAACAGUGAAAGACAAUCCUGUUAUUUCCUGUGACAUCCGGACCUCAGGAAGGAAUAAGACUCCUGGAAUCAGUGGAAAUCGAAGCUUCGCACGGCUUGGUUACGUUGAUGAGAAAUCGCCGAACUUCUUCCUGUUCCCAGUGUCGCUUUGUAACUUGAGUCUGUCGCAGAGGAGCCACAGCUCGGAGCCGUCUCUGCAACACGCCGAUGCCUCACCUCGGUUUCAUCGUUUGGGACCAAAUGAAAAGUUUAAUUUACACGAAAGAAGACUCUUAAAACUCUAGCUGGUCACUGCAGCAGAGACCCUGAACGCACCGCCUCUUCAUUUGCACUCCACCCGGUUACACCGCUAAGUCAGAGACAUGCACUCUGGGGAGGGGGUUCAGACCCAAACCCAGUCCGGGGCAUCAGCUCGGUGGCUGGUUGCACAGCCGUUCCCCAGGCAACCACCGGUGGUCGUUAAGUGUAAUUUGUCUGGUCUCCCAGUGUUGAAAACGC